rnacentral:rRNA from 1 species
CAAUAGCGUAUAUUAAAGUUGUUGCAGUUAAAAAGCUCGUAGUUGGAUUUGUGGCGUACGGUGUGUUCCGGGCACUUGUUGUCUGAGUAACCUGCUGUUGCCAUCCUUGGGUGGAACCUGUGUGGCAUUAGGUUGUCGUGCAGGGGAUGCCCAUCAUUUACUGUGAAAAAAUUAGAGUGUUCAAAGCAGGCUUAUGCCGUUGAAUAUAUUAGCAUGGAAUAAUGAGAUAGGACUUUUUUGCCAUUUUGUUGGUUUGCGCAAAGAGGUAAUGAUUAAUAGGGACAGUUGGGGGUAUUCGUAUUCCAUUGUCAGAGGUGAAAUUCUUGGAUUUUUGGAAGACGAACUACUGCGAAAGCAUUUACCAAGGAUGUUUUCAUUAA